rnacentral:rRNA from 1 species
CAGACAUGCUCCGGUGCCGAAAGCGUGCUUACGGUCAUCGAAAGUGAUUUUCAAAAGGUUAGAACGGGUUAAAUUCGUUAAGGAUGUUGACGUAAUGGCUUUAAACGACCCGUCUUGAAACACGGACCAAGGAGUCUAACAUGUGUGCGAGUGUUU